rnacentral:rRNA from 1 species
CUAGCGGCGUGCCUAAUGCAUGCAAGUCGAACGGGAACCUUUAGAUUCGUCUGAAUUGAGAGUGGCGAACGGGUGAGUAACACGUUGGUGACCUACCCCAGAGAGGGGGAUAACCAUUGGAAACGAUGGCUAAUACCCCGGAUGUCCCUACUGUAGAGAGUAGACUAAAGCUUGGCGCUCUGGGAGGGGCCUGCGGCCCAUCAGCUUGUUGGUAGAGUAAUGCCCUACCAAGGCAAAGACGGGUAGAAACGUGAGAGCGUGACUUAUCCACACUGGUACUGAUACACGGACCAGAUACCUACGGGUAGCAGCAGCAAGGAAUAUUGCCCAAUGGACGAAAGUCUGAGGCAGCAACGCCGCGUGGAGGAUGAAGGCCUUCGUUCGUAAACUCCUUUUCUGGGGGAAGAGAAAGGACGGUACCCCAGGAAUAAGAUAGCGGCUAACUACGUGCCAGCAGCCGCGGUAAAACGUAGGAGGCGAUAUUUAUCCGGAUUUACUGCAGUUGUAAAGCGCGUGCAGGCGGUUUCUUAAGUCGGACGUGAAAGCUCCUGGCUCAACUGGGGGAGGUCGUUCGAAACUACCGAACUUGAGGAUGGUAGAGGAGAGUGGAUUUUCCCGGUGAAGUGGUGAAAUGCUAUGAUAUCGGGAGGAACAGAGCCAGUGGCGAAGGCGGCUCUCUGGGCUAUUCCUGACGCUAUAUCCCGCGAAAGCUAGGGGAGAGAAUGGGAUUAGAAACCCCGGUAUUCCUAGCCGUAAACGAUGUCAACUAGGUGAGAGGGGUAUCCAACCCCCCUGUGCUGUACAUUUAUACGCGUAUUACCUGACCGCCUGGGGACUACUAAUACGCAAGGCUAAAACUCAAAUUAUAUUUGACGGGGACCCGCCAGAGAAGCAGCGGAGCGUGUGGAGAGAUUUGUAAUUCGAGGCUACGCGAAGAACCUUACCAGGGUUUGACAUGUGAGAUGGUAGAAAGGCGAUAUCCGAUCGACCCUUGAUUCAGUAUGCCGUCACAGGUGCUGCAUGGCUGUUGUCAGCUCGUGCCGUGAGGUGUUAGGUUAAGUCCUGUAACGAGCGCAACCCUCGUCGUUAGUUACAUGUGUCUACAGGAUUAUGCCGGGAUAAGCCGGAGGAAGGUGGGGAUUUUGUCCAGGAUUUACCGGCCUUUAUAUCCUGGGCUACACACACGCUACAAUGGCCGGUACAAUGGGUCGCGAAGCCGCG